rnacentral:rRNA from 1 species
AUGGCAGCAAUGAAUAGUGAUCUGGGUGGCUUAGGUCCUAGGCCUGCAAAUGCACCACCAAAUCCUUUUGAAAGUGCCAUGUAUGGUGCUGGACCUGGACUUAUCCGUACUGGACUUGGAGCAUAUGGAGAGAAAUUUCUUGGUUCGAGUUCUGAGUUCAUGCAGAGCAAUAUUACUCAAUAUUUGUCCGACCCUCAAUACUAUUUUCAAGUCAACAGCCAGUAUGUGAGGAACAAACUGAAGGUCGUCUUGUUCCCUUUCUUUCACAGGGGUCAUUGGACGAGAAUAACUGAACCUGUAGGAGGAAGGCUAUCCUACAAACCUCCAAUUCAGGAUAUCAAUGCCCCAGACCUGUACAUCCCUUUGAUGGCAUUUGGCACCUACAUUGUCAUUGCUGGAUACGCAUUGGGAGUUCUGGGAAGGUUUACCCCUGAGGCACUGACCCUACAGUUCACAAGAGGUCUAGUUGGCUGGUUUCUGCAAGUCGUCCUCAUCAAAGGUUUGCUGUACUCCCUGGGCAGUGGUGAAGCGCCAUUGCUAGACAUUGUGGCGUAUGCUGGGUAUGGAUUUGCUGGCACAUCUCUUGCGAUGCUGGCCCGCAUCUUCUGGAGCUACCUAUACUACUUCAUCAUGCCAUGGUUCUGUCUCUGCACUGGCGUGUUCCUCGUGAAGACCAUGAAGAGGGUUCUUCUGGGUGGACCAAGGAGUUACGAGCGGCAUCCGAGUCGAAACCACUACUUUCUGCUCUUCCUGGCGGUUGUUCAGUUCCCGAUGCUGUUUUGGCUCGGCAACAUCAGUGGUUGA